rfam:Ictidomys tridecemlineatus contig020002, whole genome shotgun sequence.
GUUGUGGCUCAGCGGUAGAGCGCUCACCUUGCACGCAUGAGGCCCUGAGUUCGAAUCACAGCACAACA